UUGACGGUACCCUACUAGAAAGGAGCCGCUAACUUCGUGCCAGAAGCGUCGGUAAUACGGGGGCUCCAAGCGUUAUCCGGUGUUAUUGGGCGUAAAGAGUCGUGUAGGUGGUUGGGUAAGUUAUCUUUCAAAUAUCUUUGCUUAACAAAGAGGAGGGGGAUAAUACUGCUCGACUAGAAUUUUCUCAAGGGAGAUCGGAACUGAGGGAGGAGUAGUGAAAUGCGUUGAUACCCUCGGGAACACCAGUGGCGUAGGCGGAUCUCUGGGAGAAGAUUGACACUGAGACACGAAAGCUAGGGGAGCGAAGCAGAUUAGAGACCUGCGUAGUCCUAGCCGUAAACGCAUGCUUGCUAGCUGCAUGAAUCUACCUUCGGGUGGUAUCGUGUGGCGAAGGUAACCCGUUAAGCAAGCCGCCUGGAAAGUACGGCCGCAAGGCUGAAAUCCAAAGGAAUUGGCGGGGAGGCACACAACCAGUGGAACAUGUGGUUUAAUUCGAGACUAACCGAAGAACCUCACCAGGGUUUGACAUGUAGCUGCACGUCUUAAGAAAUUAAGACUCUCUUGAAGGUGCUACACAGGUGCUGCAUGGCUGUCGUCAGCUCGUUCCGUGAGGAGUGCCCUUAAGUGGGACAACGAGCGCAACCCCUAUUACAUGUUAGAAAUGUCAUGUAAGACUGCCUUGCCAUUUGGCGGGGAGGAAGGAGGGGCAGACGUCAAGUCCGCAUGGUCCUUAUGCCCUGGGCUACACACAUGUUACAAUGAGUACGGCAAUGAGUCUGUCGCGAGCACGUAAGUGUAAGCUAAUCUCUUAAAUGUACUCUCAGUGGGGAUUGAGGUCUGCAACUCGACCUCAUGAACACGGAAUUGGUAGUAAUCGCGGGUCAGCUAUACCGCGGUGAUACGUUCUUGCCUCUUGCACACACCGCCCGUCAAACCAGCAAAGU
rnacentral:rRNA from 1 species